AUACGGAAGGUCCGGGCGUUAUCCGGAUUUAUUGGGUUUAAAGGGAGCGCAGGCGGAGAUGCAAGCGUGACGUCAAAUUUCGGGGCUCAACCCCGUCUCGCGUCGCGAACUGCGUCCCUUGGUUGCGGGAAGGGGAGGCGGAACUCGUGGUGUAGCGGUGAAAUGCAUAGAUAUCACGAAGAACUCCGAUCGCGAAGGCAGCCUUCCGGCCCGUCAACGACGCUCAUGCUCGAAGGUGCGGGUAUCAAACAGGAUUAGAUACCCUGGUAGUCCGCACAGUAAACGAUGGACACCCGCGGUUUGGCCUGUGUGGCUGAGCCGCCAAGCGAAAGCGUUAAGUGUCCCACCUGGGGAGUACGCCGGCAACGGUGAAACUCAAAGGAAUUGACGGGG
rnacentral:rRNA from 1 species